GAUGUAUAAGGAACAGAUAGAGCUGCUUGUACAACUCUAUCAAUAAUAGAAUAUACCCACAAAAUAAAGUAAACAGUGUGAUAUAUCUUGUAUAUAAGUACAAUCUAUGCUAGUAAUCAACAAAACAUAAGAUAUAUAUUGAAUGUACACAAUUACCUGUCUAUUCUCAAAGAACCAAUAAUGUACAAGCUCCCUCUAUUGAUGAGGAUCUACAUUAGGAGGACAAAUACAAGCAAC
rnacentral:lncRNA from 1 species